UGAGGAAUAUUGGUCAAUGGACGAGAGUCUGAACCAGCCAAGUAGCGUGAAGGAUGACUGCCCUAUGGGUUGUAAACUUCUUUUAUACGGGAAUAAAGUGAGGCACGUGUGCCUUUUUGUAUGUACCGUAUGAAUAAGGAUCGGCUAACUCCGUGCCAGCAGCCGCGGUAAUACGGAGGAUCCGAGCGUUAUCCGGAUUUAUUGGGUUUAAAGGGAGCGUAGGCGGACGCUUAAGUCAGUUGUGAAAGUUUGCGGCUCAACCGUAAAAUUGCAGUUGAUACUGGGUGUCUUGAGUACAGUAGAGGCAGGCGGAAUUCGUGGUGUAGCGGUGAAAUGCUUAGAUAUCACGAAGAACUCCGAUUGCGAAGGCAGCUUGCUGGACUGUAACUGACGCUGAUGCUCGAAAGUGUGGGUAUCAAACAGGAUUAGAUACCCUGGUAGUCCACACAGUAAACGAUGAAUACUCGCUGUUUGCGAUAUACAGUAAGCGGCCAAGCGAAAGCGUUAAGUAUUCCACCUGGGGAGUACGCCGGCAACGGUGAAACUCAAAGGAAUUGACGGGGGCCCGCACAAGCGGAGGAACAUGUGGUUUAAUUCGAUGAUACGCGAGGAACCUUACCCGGGCUUGAAUUGCAACUGAAUGAUGUGGAGACAUGUCAGCCGCAAGGCAGUUGUGAAGGUGCUGCAUGGUUGUCGUCAGCUCGUGCCGUGAGGUGUCGGCUUAAGUGCCAUAACGAGCGCAACCCUUAUCGAUAGUUACCAUCAGGUUAUGCUGGGGACUCUGUCGAGACUGCCGUCGUAAGAUGUGAGGAAGGUGGGGAUGACGUCAAAUCAGCACGGCCCUUACGUCCGGGGCUACACACGUGUUACAAUGGGGGGUACAGAGGGCCGCUACCACGCGAGUGGAUGCCAAUCCCUAAAACCCCUCUCAGUUCGGACUGGAGUCUGCAACCCGACUCCACGAAGCUGGAUUCGCUAGUAAUCGCGCAUCAGCCACGGCGCGGUGAAUACGUUCCC
rnacentral:rRNA from 1 species